UACAGAGACUGCAAGCGUUGUCCGGAUUUAUUGGGCGUAAAGAGCGCGCAGGCGGUCGUUCAAGUCGAGUGUGAAAGCCCCCGGCUCAACUGGGGAGGGUCACUCGAUACUGAUCGACUCGAAGGCAGAAGAGGGAAGCGGAAUUCCCGGUGUAGUGGUGAAAUGCGUAGAUAUCGGGAGGAACACCAGUGGCGAAGGCGGCUUUCUGGUCUGCUCUUGACGCUGAGGCGCGAAAGCUAGGGUAGCAAACGGG
rnacentral:rRNA from 1 species